rnacentral:rRNA from 1 species
AUACAGAGGGUGCGAGCGUUAAUCGGAAUUACUGGGCGUAAAGCGCACGUAGUCGGCUUGCCAAGUCGGGUGUGAAAUCCCCGGGCUCAACCUGGGAACUGCAUCCGAAACUGGCUUGCUAGAGUAUGGGAGAGGGAGGCGGAAUUUCUGGUGUAGCAGUGAAAUGCGUAGAUAUCAGAAGGAACAUCAGUGGCGAAGGCGGCCUCCUGGACCAAUACUGACGAUCAGGUGCGAAAGCGUGGGGAGCAAACAGGAUUAGAUACCCUGGUAGUCCACGCCCUAAACGAUGACAACUGGAUGUCGGGAGGGUUUGCCUUCCGGUGUCGUAGCUAACGCGUUAAGUUGUCCGCCUGGGAAGUACGGCCGCAAGGUUGAA